rnacentral:lncRNA from 1 species
AUCUUUCUGCAUGCACAGAUCCAUGUGGCACUCAUCUCAUCAUUCUGAGGGAAGAAAGAUGCAUGGGGAAUGUUGCAUGUGGUUAUUUCUGCAGAACCCACAGAAAACAAUAAAGCAGGAGAGAAAAGAGGAUGGCAGUUUACUCAGGAAACAUAGGUUGUGCAAAGCUUUGCAAUGAUACUCUCAAUUCAGAGCAAUGAAGAACAGAAUUCUGUCUUCCCAUAAUGAUGGCAUUCAAUUAUCACUAGACUUACAAGACUACAGAAAAUUUCUCAAGAACCAGUAAGGAUCAGACAGAGCCAAUGACAAUACUGAAGAAGCUUGCCAGUGGAGAAUGAAAGCUCAGUUACACAAAUUACGUUGUUGAACCAGUGCCAGAAAUAAAAUGUGAUGGACAAACUCAGUAA